rnacentral:rRNA from 1 species
UACAGAGGCCCCAAGCGUUAGGCGGAAUCACUGGGCUUAAAGCGUGUGUAGGCGGCCCGGUCAGUACCUUGUGAAAUCCCACGGCUCAACCGUGGAAAUGCUUGGUAUACUGCCGGACUUGAACCACCCAGAGGCGAGCGGAACACAUGGUGGAGCGGUGAAAUGCGUAGAUAUCAUGUGGAACGCCAAUGGUGAAGACAGCUCGCUGGGGGUGUGUUGACGCUGAGACACGAAAGCCAGGGGAGCAAACGGG